AACUAAUUUUUCCAUUCCUCUAGAAGGCAAAUAACAGUAAUAGAAACUCCACUAAUGAGAACGAAUGGGGAAUGGGACAUUUUGAUAAACGGAUAUUUCCAUUUCUAGACUUUGUGGUUGAAACUCUUAACUGUGAAGUAAUUCACUGUGAGAAGGCUCAGUCUAUAGGAACACAAAAGGGUGCCUUCCAUUUGUGGAUGGAGGGGAUCUGAGGAGCUCUCAUGCUGAAAAGGAGUAUGUGCUCCAGAUCAGGCCAAGGGGAUGAGCAGCUCUGGGGGACGAGGCAGAAAGAACAAUCACAGGGGUAGAGCACCAGAGCCUGGGUCCAGAUUCUUAAAACAGAUCAAAACUCAAUCAUUUUCCUGUGGUCAUCCUGCUGAAUCUACUGUUUCCCUUACACCUUCAACUUCAUAUUAUUAGUGAAUCUAGAACAGGAAACUGUUUCCUCCACAACCCCAGAAGGAAGGCUGGACAAAGGGGCAAAGGUCUGAAAACUGGCAAGGACUCAGAGAAGGGAC